rnacentral:rRNA from 1 species
AUGCCUGGGAGGUCGACCAUGGAAGCCAUUUUCUUGGUACGACAACUUAUGGAGAGAUAUAGGGAGCAUAAGAAGGACUUGCAUAUGGUGUUCAUUGACUUGGAGAAGGCCUAUGAUAAGAUACCGCGGAAUGUCAUGUGGUGGGCCUUGGAGAAACACAAAGUCCCAACAAAGUACAUUACCCUCAUCAAGGACAUGUACAAUAAUGUUGUGACAAGUGUUCGAACAAGUGAUGUCGACACCGAUGACUUCCCGAUUAAGAUAGGACUGCAUCAGGGGUCAGCUUUGAGCCCUUAUCUUUUUGCAUUGGUGAUGGAUGAGGUCACAAGAGGUAUACAAGGAGAUAUCCCAUGGUGUAUGCUCUUUGCGGAUGAUGUGGUGCUAGUUGACGAUAGUCAAACGGGGGUAAAUAGGAAGUUAGAGUUAUGGAGACAAACCUUGGAAUCGAAAGGGUUUAGGCUUAGUAGAACUAAAACCGAGUACAUGAUGUGCGGUUUCAGUACUACUAGCUGUGAGGAGGAGGAGGUUAGCCUUGAUAGCCAGGUGGUACCUCGGAAGGACACCUUUCGGUAUUUGGGGUCAAUGUUGCAGGAGGAUGGGGGUAUUGAUGAAGAUGUGAACCAUCGAAUCAAAGCCGGAUGGAUGAAGUGGCGCCAAGCUUCUGGCAUUCUCUGUGACAAGAGAGUGCCACAAAAGCUAAAAGGCAAGUUCUACAGGACGGCGGUUCGACCCGCAAUGUUGUAUGGCGCGGAGUGUUGGCCGACUAAAAGGCGACAUGUUCAACAGUUAGGUGUGGCGGAGAUGCGUAUGUUGAGAUGA